UACGAAGGGGGCUAGCGUUGUUCGGAAUUACUGGGCGUAAAGCGCACGUAGGCGGAUUGGUCAGUUAGGGGUGAAAUCCCGGGGCUCAACCCCGGAACUGCCUUUAAUACUGCCAAUCUAGAGUCCGAGAGAGGUGAGUGGAAUUCCGAGUGUAGAGGUGAAAUUCGUAGAUAUUCGGAGGAACACCAGUGGCGAAGGCGGCUCACUGGCUCGGUACUGACGCUGAGACGCGAAAGCGUGGGGAGCAAACAGG
rnacentral:rRNA from 1 species